rnacentral:rRNA from 1 species
CAAAUUUGAAAGCUGUUGCCUUUGGUAACCGCAUUGUAAUCUCGAGAUCUGUUUUCCGCGCUGGACCAUGUACAGGUCCCUUGGAAUAGGGCGUCAUAGAGGGUGAGAAUCCCGUACUUGACAUGGCCUCCCAGUGCUUUGUGAUACAGGCUCAACGAGUCGAGUUGUUUGGGAAUGCAGCUCAAAAUGGGUGGUAAAUUCCAUCUAAAGCUAAAUAUUGGGGAGAGACCGAUAGCGAACAAGUACCGUGAGGGAAAGAUGAAAAGCACUUUGGAAAGAGAGUUAAACAGUACGUGAAAUUGUCAAAAGGGAACCGUUUAAAGUUAGUCAUGCUUGCCUGGACUCAGCCUUGCUUUUGCUUGGUGCAUUUCCAGGUUAGCAGGUCAGCAUCGGUUUUGACUGCUGGCAUAAGGGUGAGAGGAAUGUGGCACCUUCGGGUGUGUUAUAGCCUCUUACUGGAUGCAGC